GAUGUAUUUUCUUCUCUUGUAUU
rnacentral:snRNA from 1 species